UUUACAGAAUAUACAAUAUAUAGAGUAUAUUUAAGAAUUAUAAAUAUAAGAAUCGAUUAUGAACCUGUCUAUAUAUUUAUUCACAUUGAUUAGUUUACUAUUUUCGAUAUAAAAGAUUAAGAAUAAAAAAUGGACAACAAAUUGAUAGAUUAAUAGAAUUUUGUUUUCAUUUGAAAGUCGCGCGAGAAUGUGGCCAUGUUGAAAGUAAUCACGUGACGUGCGCUGCGCGCACACUCUACCAUGUUAGUCGCGACUACCGCGGAACGAGUGUGACUGCGAAAUCGCGGACACGGUUUCUUGCGAAUUUUUGUCAUUGAAAAUUAGCAGCGCACGUUAAUUUACGCCAGGAUUAGCGAGAAAAGUUACGGGCUAACGUCGCGUCGCACUUGUCUGCGCUCACGUUUGUUCGCAGUCGCGUAUUUUCGCCAGAAAUCCGCGGUGUCGAAUUCUCGACGCGAAGCAAAAGAUCGGGGGUCACACGAGUAAUCGCACGGCUCGCAGAAACAAUGGGCUGGUCGUCGUUUUUCAUCUGCAAAUUCGUGGAGAAUCGAAUAAAGCGGAAUCGGCCGAAAGUUGAAAGUCGAAAGGAUGAUUAUGCGGAUCGACAAAAUGCUGCGAUUUGGUGAGUAAAUUUGAUAUAUAAUCAUUAACAAAAGGUAUAACACAUUUCUUUUGAUGAAUUUGACGUUCAAUGUUGUAAUAAUAAUUAAAUUUAUACAUAGGAGAAUAAUUUUGUUAUAUAUAAUAGCAGAAUUAUAAAACUAUUGAACUAUAAUAAUUAAAACUUGAUUAUUAUAAUUAUUAUGAAAUUGAAUAAUUGAUUGUUAUAGUAAAGCAAAACUUUUGUCAUUAAUAAUAACUAAUAAUAAUAAGUUUAUAAAACCGUGAAUAAUUGUAAUAAUAUAAAGUUAAAAUUAUAAAAAACAAUUAAAAGUCAA